AGUGAACGCUGGCGGUAGGCCUAACACAUGCAAGUCGAACGGCAGCACAGUAAGAGCUUGCUCUUAUGGGUGGCGAGUGGCGUACGGGUGAGGUAUACAUCGGACUCUACUUUUUCGUGGAGGAUAAAGUAGGGAAACUUACGCUAAUACAGCAUACGACCUUCGGGUGAAAGCAGGGGAUCUUCGGACCUUGCGCGAUUGAAUGAGCCGAUGUUGGAUUAGCUAGUUGGCGGGGUAAAGGCCCACCAAGGAGCGGAUCGGUAGCUGGUCUGAGAGGAUGAUCAGCCACACUGGAACGUAAACACGUUCCAGACUCCUACGGUAGGCAGCAGUGUGGAAUAUUGGACAGUGGUGGCAAGUCUGAUCCAGCCAUAGCGGGUGGGUGAAGAAAGCCUUCGGGUUGGAAAGCCCUUUUGUUGGGAAAGAAAAGCAGCAGGUUAAUACCCCGCUGUACUGACGGUACCCAAAGAAUAAGCACCGGCUAACUUCGUG
rnacentral:rRNA from 1 species